UACGGAGGGAGCGAGCGUUGUCCGAAGUUACUGGGCGUAAAGCGUGCGCAGGCGGUUUUGUAAGUCUGUCGUGAAAUCCCCGGGCUCAACCUGGGAAUUGCGAUGGAGACUGCAAGGCUAGAAUCUGGCAGAGGGGGGUAGAAUUCCACGUGUGAGCAGUGAAAUGCGUAGAGAUGUGGAGGAACACCGAUGGCGAAGGCAGCCCCCUGGGUCAAGAUUGACGCUCAUGCACGAAAGCGUGGGGAGCAAACAGG
rnacentral:rRNA from 1 species